AUGUCAGCCACUAGUUUUGUAUCGCUCUCUUUUUACUUUUGCAUUUUGCUCUUGUGCCAUGGCUCCAUGGCACAACUAUUUGGCAUGAGCUUUAACCCAUGGCAAAGCUCUCGCCAAGGGGGUUUCAGAGAGUGUACACUCAAUAGGCUACAAGCAUCUACACCACUUCGUCAAGUGAGGUCGCAAGCAGGCCUAACCGAGUAUUUUGAUGAGGAAAAUGAGCAGUUUCGUUGCAUUGGUGUAUUUGUCAUCCGUCGUGUAAUCGAACCUCGUGGUUAUUUGUUACGAUACCACAACACUCAUGGAUUAGUCUACAUCAUCCAAGGAAGUGGUUCUGCCGGAUUGUCUUUUACUGGAUGCCCAGAGACAUUCCAAAAACAGUUUCAAAAAUAUGGGCAAGCACAAUUCGUACAGGGUCAAAGCCAAAGCCAAAAGUUCAAAGAUGAGCACCAGAAGGUUCACCGUUUCAAACAAGGAGAUGUCAUUGCACUACCGGCAGGCAUUGUACAUUGGUUCUACAAUGACGGUGAUGCGCCAAUUGUGGCUAUCUAUGUUUUCGACGUAAACAACAAUGCUAAUCAACAUGAAACUAGGCAUAAGGAAUUUUUGUUGGCUGGCAACUAUAGGAGUUCGCAACUUCACUCUAGCCAAAACAUAUUCAGUGGUUUCGAUGUUCGGUUGCUUGGUGAGGCCUUGGGUACAAGUGGAAAAAUAGCGCAAAGGCUUCAAAGUCAAAAUGAAAUGGGUGACAUAAUCCAUGUGAAUCAUACUCUUAAAUUUAUAAAGCCUAUUUUUACACAACAGCGAGAGCAAGAAUCCUACCCACACACUCAAUAUGAGGAAGGGCAAUGUGGUUGGAAUGGUUUGGAGGAGAACUUUUGUGAUCAUAAGCUAAGUGUGAACAUCGACGAUCCCAGUCAUGCUGACAUAUACAACCCGCGUGCCGGUACAAUAACACGUCUCAACAGCCAAACGUUCCCCAUCCUUAACAUCGUGCAAAUGAGUGCUACAAGAGUACAUCUCUACCAGAAUGCCAUUAUUUCACCAUUAUGGAACAUUAAUGCUCAUAGUGUGAUGUACAUGAUCCAAGGACAUAUCUGGAUUCAAGUUGUCAAUGACCAUGGUCGAAAUGUGUUCAAUGGCCUUCUUAGCCCGGGACAACUAUUAAUCAUACCACAAAACUAUGUCGUUCUGAAGAAGGCACAACGUGAUGGAAGCAAGUACAUUGAAUUCAAGACUAACGAAAACUCCAUGGUUAGUCACAUCGCAGGAAAGAACUCAAUUCUCGGUGCCUUGCCCGUUGAUGUCCUCGCCAAUGCAUUCGGCAUCUCUAGGACAGAAGCUCGGAGCCUCAAAUUUACCAGGGAAGAGGAGCUGGGAGUAUUUGCUCCUAAAUUCAGUCAAAGUAUCUUCGAUAGUUUUCCUAAGGGUGAAGAAGAGUCACCUUCAAAGUGCAUGAACUAA
rnacentral:rRNA from 1 species